CACGUCAGAUAGGGAUCUACAAUUUUGCCCCCUUUCAUAAACCAGAGCCCUCUCUACUUUACGUCUUCCUCUGCUUUGGGCUUGAUUGUAUGCUAGGGAUUGUAUGCUUAUCUCUAAUCCAAACUGGAGCCCAUAAAGCCACCCAAUUGGAAGUUGUACUCCUAACCCCCACGGUACGCCCAGAGUACCAGACCGACCACGGUCAUUGUAUA